ACGGUUGGGGGCGGGGGUGCAAUGAAUGCUGGAAGCCCAAGGGCAGCGUUGGGACGGAGCUAGUCAAUGUGGCCUACGGACCCUCUGGGUGUCACAUGGCCACUAGGAAGCCCUUGAGCAAAAGCUCCGCAGCACCAAAGAUUCCUGUGCUCUUCUGGAUGCCCAGCCUCCCUUGUAUGAGGUUGGAGCCUCGACUUGCUGACUUCUGGCUAACGAAAUAAGCACAGUGAGAUAAGCUGCGUGAAGCAUGCCCCUUACAGACAGCCUGCAAGAUCCUUCAGCUCUUUCUUCCUCCACCACAGUGGCCUUAGAUGGCACAUAUACCAGAUGGUAGAGCUCUGAGACAGAGCCCGCUUGACCCACCUGUUAUUGGACUUCGAUGUCAGCAAGAAACAAAUGUUUGCGGUAACAUUAAGCCACUGAUGUGUCAAGAUCACCUGAUACUUCCAAGCAAGCAGGUGUUCUUUUCAGAAGCCAGAAGCUGAUAACCUGGGCUUUCUGAUCUAACCCCAGCCCAAAUUCAUUGCAAUGGAGGAAUUGGGGAGGAGAUUCUUCCUACUGAGAAGUGGGUGCCAACUCUCCCUUUCAAAUUUGUUCAUCAACAAACUAAAGGGGAUGCCAGAAAUGUCUGGAGCAAUGGAAGAACCACUGGAAUAAUGCUCCUGCCUGAUUGUAUCUACUUAACCCACUCUCCAAGAGCCAGAAUCAGAUUUCAACCGUAUGGAAUCAUCUACAAUGCAGCAGAUGGGUUUACAAGUCUCUUGGUCUCUUCAUGAAGAAGGCGCAGCAAUCGUGUCCCAAGUCCUUGAGGACUUCACAGGGUGUUCUAGUGUCCUGAGAAUAUACCUGCCUAAGGCACUGUGGUGGGAUUCUGCCAUUCGAGAAUCUCAGACUAAGAUCAUCUGUUUCAACAAGCAUCGAUCAAGCACCCACAUUGCAGCUGGCACUCUGCUUGAUGGUGAGAUGAGUGUCAAGACCAGUUCCUUAUUUUACAGGGAAGGCCAUCAAGGUUGAAAGUGGAAAUUUCCCAAGGUCAGAGACAGAGUGGUAGAGCCAGUCCAUGCAUUCUGGUCUCCUGUCUCCUGUUCCAGUGCUCAUUCGUGACACUGCUGCUCUCCCUAACACUUCAUCCCACGAGAAUACUCUUGAGAAUAUUGUUCUUGGCUGUUCCAAAUAGAAAGAUCAUCUGUCCAUUA
ensembl:lncRNA LINC02443 long intergenic non-protein coding RNA 2443